rnacentral:tRNA from 1 species
CGAAAUCGGUAGACGCUACGGACUUGAUCGAAUUGAGCCUUGGUAUGGAACCUUGAGGGUUCAAGUCCCUCUAUUCCCAGGUUCAUUUCCAAAAU